rnacentral:rRNA from 1 species
ACUCCUACGGGAGGCAGCAGUGGGGAAUAUUGGACAAUGGGGGGAACCCUGAUCCAGCCAUGCCGCGUGUGUGAAGAAGGCCUUUUGGUUGUAAAGCACUUUAAGCGAGGAGGAGGCUCCCUAGACUAAUACUCUAGGAGAGUGGACGUUACUCGCAGAAUAAGCACCGGCUAACUCUGUGCCAGCAGCCGCGGUAAUACAGAGGGUGCAAGCGUUAAUCGGAUUUACUGGGCGUAAAGGGUACGUAGGUGGUCUUUUAAGUCGGAUGUGAAAUCCCUGAGCUUAACUUAGGAAUUGCAUUCGAUACUGAGAGACUAGAGUAUGGGAGAGGAUGGUAGAAUUCCAGGUGUAGCGGUGAAAUGCGUAGAGAUCUGGAGGAAUACCGAUGGCGAAGGCAGCCAUCUGGCCUAAUACUGACACUGAGGUACGAAAGCAUGGGGAGCAAACAGGAUUAGAUACCCUGGUAGUCAAU